rnacentral:lncRNA from 1 species
UUAUUGGUUGGGAAACCAGGUGAUUCCUCUUGUAGAAUUACCCUUAUUUUAGAUUUAAUUGCUCCUUUUUGUGUCAUGUAAUUUACUCUUCCAUUCCUUGAAUUUUCUCUAAACUGGGAGUUGGCUCUUGAGGCUUAAAUUCAGGUUCAAUAUUUUUGGCAAGAUGUGUAUAUCUUACUGUAUCACAUUAGGAGGCACGUAAUUUUUACUCUCUUGCUUUUUGUGAAGUUGAGAUGAUGAGUGGGUUCAGACGUUGUCAGUCUCAUCUAUUCACUAUAAAGUUCACAACCUUCACUGAAUGGUGUCAACCUCUACAGAGAAUCAUGCCUAGAUCCAUUAUUUCAUUAUGUGUUACACAAUAGUUUUUCUAAUAUAAUUUUCUAUUAUUCUUUCUGCAUUCAUUAGCCUGGAAUUUUCUAAUAAAGAAGAACUUUACCUCCUUAACUUCUGGUUGCCUUGAAAUACAGUUCCUACAGGAAAUGCAGACUAAAUGACUUUCCUUUCCUUUACACAUUUUCAGAAUGAAGUGGUUCCCUAGCAACCUUCGUGUGUAUAUACACAGAUGGAAGAAUAUGGAGAUAAUAACAGAAUGAAUUCUCUGAUGUUGAAUCAGUG